rnacentral:rRNA from 1 species
AAAGCGAGUCUGAAUAGGGCGAAUGAGUUUGUAGGCGUAGACCCGAAACCGUGUGAUCUACCCCUGUCCAGGGUGAAGGUGCGGUAACACGCACUGGAGGCCCGAACCCACGCACGUUGAAAAGUGCGGGGAUGAGGUGGGGGUAGCGGAGAAAUUCCAAUCGAACUUGGAGAUAGCUGGUUCUCCCCGAAAUAGCUUUAGGGCUAGCCUUAAGUGUAAGAGUCUUGGAGGUAGAGCACUGAUUGGACUAGGGGUCCUCAUCGGAUUACCGAAUUCAGUCAAACUCCGAAUGCCAAUGACUUAUCCUUAGGAGUCAGACUGCGAGUGAUAAGAUCCGUAGUCAAAAGGGAAACAGCCCAGACCGCCAGCUAAGGUCCCAAAGUGUGUAUUAAGUGGAAAAGGAUGUGGAGUUGCUUAGACAACUAGGAUGUUGGCUUAGAAGCAGCCACCAUUUAAAGAGUGCGUAAUAGCUCACUAGUCGAGUGACUCUGCGCCGAAAAUGUACCGGGGCUAAAUACACCACCGAAGCUGCGGAUUGAUACCGAAUGGUAUCAGUGGUAGGGGAGCGUUCUAAGGACAGUGAAGUCAGACCGUAAGGACUGGUGGAGUGCUUAGAAGUGAGAAUGCCGGUAUGAGUAGCGAAAGACGGGUGAGAAUCCCGUCCACCGAAUGCCUAAGGUUUCCUGAGGAAGGCUCGUCCGCUCAGGGUUAGUCAGGACCUAAGCCGAGGCCGACAGGCGUAGGCGAUGGACAACAGGUUGAUAUUCCUGUACCACCUCUUUAUCGUUUGAGCAAUGGAGGGACGCAGAAGGAUAGAAGAAGCGUGCGAUUGGUUGUGCACGUCCAAGCAGUUAGGCUGAUAAGUAGGCAAAUCCGCUUAUCGUAAAGGCUGAGCUGUGAUGGGGAAGCUCCUUAUGGAGCGAAGUCUUUGAUUCCCCGCUGCCAAGAAAAGCUUCUAGCGAGAUAAAAGGUGCCUGUACCGCAAACCGACACAGGUAGGCGAGGAGAGAAUCCUAAGGUGUGCGAGAGAACUCUGGUUAAGGAACUCGGCAAAAUGACCCCGUAACUUCGGGAGAAGGGGUGCUCUUGAGCGUGCAAGCGCAUGAGAGCCGCAGUGAAUAGGCCCAGGCGACUGUUUAGCAAAAACACAGGUCUGUGCGAAGCCGCAAGGCGAAGUAUACGGGCUGACGCCUGCCCGGUGCUGGAAGGUUAAUUGAUGGGGUCAGCCGCAAGGCGAAGCUCUUGAUCGAAGCCCCAGUAAACGGCGGCCGUAACUAUAACGGUCCUAAGGUAGCGAAAUUCCUUGUCGGGUAAGUUCCGACCUGCACGAAUGGCGUAAUGAUGGCCAGGCUGUCUCCACCCGAGACUCAGUGAAAUUGAACUCGCUGUGAAGAUGCAGUGUACCCGCGGCAAGACGGAAAGACCCCGUGAACCUUUACUAUAGCUUGACACUGAACAUUGAGCCUUGAUGUGUAGGAUAGGUGGGAGGCUUUGAAGCGUGGACGCCAGUCUGCGUGGAGCCAACCUUGAAAUACCACCCUUUAAUGUUUGAUGUUCUAACGUUGGCCCCU